rnacentral:misc_RNA from 1 species
AAAUAUAUCUAUCAGCAGUUGAUUAGUCCAUGAAGCGUUAAGCAUGAUUCAAUGCAAUGGAGAGCAAGGAAUGCGAGGCCGAACAGGGGUCUUUGAUGGGCUCACCCUUAUUGGCAAAGAUCCCAGGACAACACCACUACAGUUAAGUGCAGAAAUUGCGCUUUCAGCCACUUUGAACUCAACAAAAGCAAUACGUGUUGAAUGAUGAUAGUCCCCAAGAAGCCUCAAGCGUUGAACCCCUCCACAAAAAGAUUCAAAGAAGAGUCUGACAUCUGCCUGAGUAACCUUCUUGUCA